GUAAUGUCUGGGAAACUGCCUGAUGGAGGGGGAUAACUACUGGAAACGGUGGCUAAUACCGCAUAACGUCGCAAGACCAAAGAGGGGGACCUUCGGGCCUCUUGCCAUCAGAUGUGCCCAGAUGGGAUUAGCUUGUUGGUGAGGUAACGGCUCACCAAGGCGACGAUCCCUAGCUGGUCUGAGAGGAUGACCAGCCACACUGGAACUGAGACACGGUCCAGACUCCUACGGGAGGCAGCAGUGGGGAAUAUUGCACAAUGGGCGCAAGCCUGAUGCAGCCAUGCCGCGUGUAUGAAGAAGGCCUUCGGGUUGUAAAGUACUUUCAGCGGGGAGGAAGGUGUUGUGGUUAAUAACCGCAGCAAUUGACGUUACCCGCAGAAGAAGCACCGGCUAACUCCGUGCCAGCAGCCGCGGUAAUACGGAGGGUGCAAGCGUUAAUCGGAAUUACUGGGCGUAAAGCGCACGCAGGCGGUCUGUCAAGUCGGAUGUGAAAUCCCCGGGCUCAACCUGGGAACUGCAUUCGAAACUGGCAGG
rnacentral:rRNA from 2 species